rnacentral:rRNA from 1 species
GACGAACGCUGGCGGCGUGCUUAACACAUGCAAGUCGAACGGUGAAGCGCCUUCCUUUUUGGUGGGUGUGGAUGAGUGGCGAGCGGGUGAGUAACACGUGAGUAACCUGCCCCCUUCUUCUGGAUAACCGCAUGAAAGUGUGGCUAAUACGGGAUAUUCUGGGUCUGUCGCAUGAUGGGUCUGGGAAAGAUAUUGUUUCGGUGGGGGAUGGGCUCGCGGCCUAUCAGCUUGUUGGUGGGGUGAUGGCCUACCAAGGCGGUGACGGGUAGCCGGCCUGAGAGGGUGGACGGUCACACUGGGACUGAGACACGGCCCAGACUCCUACGGGAGGCAGCAGUGGGGAAUAGUGCACAAUGGGCGCAAGCCUGAUGCAGCGACGCCGCGUGAGGGAUGGAGGCCUUCGGGUUGUGAACCUCUUUCGCCAGUGAAGCAGGCCUGCCUCGUUUGUGGGUGGGUUGACGGUAGCUGGAUAAGAAGCGCCGGCUAACUACGUG